rnacentral:rRNA from 1 species
GUAACGGCGCACCAAGGCUCAGAUGGGUAGCCGGCCUGAGAGGGUGAACGCACACAAUGGAACGGAGAACCGUCAGAACCUAACGAAGCAGCAGUAGGAAUAUUGGGCAAUGGGCCAGCCUGACCCAGCAACGCCGCUGGGUGAUGAAGCUUCGAGGUGUAAGCUCUUUUGAGUGGGAAGAAGGCAUCAGGAAUAAGACGCUGGUGUUGACGGUACUACUCGAAUAAGCCCCGGCUAACUCCGUGCCAGCAGCGCGGUAAUACGGAGGGGGCGAGCGUUGUUCGGAAUUACUGGGCGUAAAGGGCGCGUAGGCGGCCUGAUAAGUUGAAUGUGGAAGCCCUCGGCUUAACCGAGGAAUGUCGUUCAAAACUGUUGGGCUAGAGUAUGGGAGAGGAGAGCGGAAUUCCCAGUGUAGCGGUGAAAUGCGUAGAUAUUGGGAGGAACAUCGGUGGCGAAGGCGGCUCUCUGGAACAUAACUGACGCUGAGGCGCGAAAGCGUGGGGAGCAAACAGGAUUAGAUACCCUGGUAGUCCACGCUGUAAACGAUGGGCACUAGGUGUAGCGGGUAUUUACCCCCGCUGUGCCGGAGCUAACGCAUUAAGUGCCCCGCCUGGGGAGUACGUACGCAAGUAUGAAACUCAAAGGAAUUGACGGGGGCCCGCACAAGCGGUGGAGCAUGUGGUUUAAUUCGACGCAACGCGAAGAACCUUACCUGGGUUUGACAUGUAAUUGCCGGGCAGCGAAAGUUGUCUUUCCUUCGGGACGGUUACACAGGUGCUGCAUGGCUGUCGUCAGCUCGUGUCGUGAGAUGUUGGGUUAAGUCCCGCAACGAGCGCAACCCUUACCCUUAGUUGCCAACGGGUCAAGCCCGGGACUCUAGGGAACUGCCGGUGAUAAACCGGAGAAGGUGGGGAUGACGUCAAGUCCUCAUGGCCCUUACGCCCAGGGCUACACACGUGCUACAUGGUCGGUACAAAGGGAUGCAAUACUGCGAAGUGGAGCCAAUCCAAAAAACCGGUCUCAGUUCGGAUUGGAGUCUGCACUCGACUCCAUGAAGUGAUCGCUAGUAAUCGCGAUCAGCAUGCCGCGGGGAAUACGUUCCGGGCAUUGUACAACCGCCCGUCACCCAGAGUGAUGGUACUAGAACCCGGUGGCUAACCUUUCGGAGAGACAACCGCACAAGGUACGAUCAGUGAUUGGGGUGAAGUCGUAACAAGGUAACC